rnacentral:rRNA from 1 species
CAGUAGCCGCGGUAACACCAGCACCUCGAGUGGUCAGGAGGUUUAUUGGGCCUAAAGCAUCCGUAGCCGGUUGCAUAAGUUUUCGGUUAAAUCUAUGCGCUUAACGUAUAGGCCGCCGAAAAUACUGUGCAGCUAGGGAGUGGGAGAGGUACACGGUACUCGAUAGGAAGGGGUAAAAUCCUUUGAUCUAUUGAUGACCACCUGUGGCGAAGGCGGUGUACCAGAACACGUUCGACGGUGAGGGAUGAAAGCUGGGGGAGCAAACCGGAUUAGAUACCCCAGUAGUCCCUGUCUCUUAUAC